GCACGACUCUCGGCAACGGAUAUCUCGGCCCUCGCCACGAUGAAGAACGUAGCGAAAUGCGAUACUUGGUGUGAAUUGCAGAAUCCCGUGAGUCAUCAAGUCUUUGAAUGCAAGUUGCGCCCGAGGCUUCGAAUGAGGGCACGUCUGCCUGGGUGUCGCAC
rnacentral:rRNA from 1 species